rnacentral:rRNA from 1 species
CUCGUAGGUGGUUUGUCGCGUUGUUCGUGAAAACCGGGGGCUUAACCCUCGGCGUGCGGGCGAUACGGGCAGACUAGAGUACUGCAGGGGAGACUGGAAUUCCUGGUGUAGCGGUGAAAUGCGCAGAUAUCAGGAGGAACACCGGUGGCGAAGGCGGGUCUCUGGGCAGUAACUGACGCUGAGGAGCGAAAGCAUGGGUAGCGAACA